rnacentral:rRNA from 1 species
AUGGCUGGUACCGAAACAACUAGUCUCCAGGUCCCCAUGGCGUUCAAGGACGCCGACGACGGCACCAUCCCAGUGCGCCCUCCGACCGAGUAUGCCGCCGCCGUCGCGUCCCUCCCGACGAAUCCUGCCAGCAAGCUCAAGUUGCGCUGCUACCAGGGCGUGUGGGUGCUGGAGGACUGGGUACCCGGCAUCAUCGCCAUGCAGCGCAGCUUCUCAACGCGCCCCGGCGACGUGGUUCUUGCGAGCUUUCCCAAGUGCGGCACCACUUGGCUCAAGGCUCUGAUAUUCGCCACGAUGGCCCGCGCCGCGUACCCGCCGGCCAGCCCCGCCCACCCACUCCGCCGCCUCAACCCGCACGACUGUGUGAUUCUCUUGGACAGGCUCUUCGCCGUCGGCCGUGAGGCAGUGUUGGAGAGGCUGCCCUCGCCGAGGCUUAUGUGCACGCACAUGCCUCUCUCGGUGCUGCCGCCGUCUAUCUCUCGUGGACCAGACUGCAAAAUUGUCUACAUAUGCAGGGAUCAGAAGGACAUGGUUGUCUCGAUGUGGCACUUUGUCAAACGUGCUCAACCUGACAUGUCACUCGAAGAGGUGUUUGAGACGGUCUGUCAGGGCACAUGUUUUGCCGGGCCUGUCUGGGAUCACAUCCUCGGAUACUGGAGGGUAAGCAAUGCAGAGCCAAAUAGAGUGCUCUUCUUGACUUAUGAGCAGAUGCUUCAGGAUCCGGUUGACAAAGUCAGGAAGCUAGCUCAGUUCCUCGGGAGGCCAUUCUCCGACAUAGAGGAGGAGGCCGGUGCCGUCGCAGAGAUCGUUGAGCUCUGUAGCUUUGAGAAUCUGAAAAAUCUAGAGGCCAACAAGAAAGGCUCCCAGGGGGUGUUCCUGAAGUUCCCGCAUGACUCGUAUUUCAGGAAGGGGGUGGUGGGAGAUUGGGUGAACCACUUGACACCUGAGAUGGCUAUACGUUUGGAUGCCAUAUUCGAGGAGAAGUUCAACGGAUCAGGCUUGGCUCUCUCGUGA